GUAUUGCUUCGGCAAUACAUAUACUAAAAUUGGAACGAUACAGAGAAGAUUAGCAUGGCCUCUGCGCAAGGAUGACACACAAAUUCAUGAAGCAUUCCAUAUUUUU
rnacentral:snRNA from 1 species